UGGAGAGUUUGAUCCUGGCUCAGGACGAACGCUGGCGGCGUGCCUAAUACAUGCAAGUCGAGCGCGGGAAGCGAGCUGAUCCCUUCGGGGUGACGCUCGUGGAACGAGCGGCGGACGGGUGAGUAACACGUGGGCAACCUGCCUGUAAGAUCGGGAUAACUCCGGGAAACCGGGGCUAAUACCGGGUAAUACUUUCUUUCGCAUGAAGGAAAGUUGAAAGAUGGCUUCUCGCUAUCACUUACAGAUGGGCCCGCGGCGCAUUAGCUAGUUGGUGAGGUAACGGCUCACCAAGGCGACGAUGCGUAGCCGACCUGAGAGGGUGAUCGGCCACACUGGGACUGAGACACGGCCCAGACUCCUACGGGAGGCAGCAGUAGGGAAUCUUCCGCAAUGGACGAAAGUCUGACGGAGCAACGCCGCGUGAACGAUGAAGGUUUUCGGAUCGUAAAGUUCUGUUGUUAGGGAAGAACAAGUGCCGUGCGAAUAGAGCGGCACCUUGACGGUACCUAACGAGAAAGCCCCGGCUAACUACGUGCCAGCAGCCGCGGUA
rnacentral:rRNA from 1 species